ACAAAGUGGGUGUAAAAUGGGGUUGCUUAGAAGCCCAUUCAAAGAGGUGAAAAGCUGAAGUUUCAUCAUUUUCUCUCCGAAGGGUGUCUAGAAGUUGUUUUGGAGUGAACUCAGGUAAGAGUUCUUUUGCUUUGGACGGUAAAACAGUUGAAACAGAAGAUGAAUUGGAGGCUGAAACUGAAGGAACACGUUCUUGGCGGGUUGAAAAUGGAAGAGAAAUGGGUUUAGGAGAAUGGAAAGAAGGAAGAAAAGUUAAGGGGUUUGGUAGAUUUUGAGACUGAGGCCAUGGGUGGCACUUGAGGAAGGAAGAGAAAGAGAGGUAAAACAGCUGAAACAGAAGAUGAAUUGGAGGCUGAAACUGAAGGAACACGUUCUUGGCGGGUUGAAAAUGGAGGAGACAUGGGUUUAGGAGAGUAGAAAGAAGGAGGAAAAGUUAAGGGGUUUGGUAGAUUU
rnacentral:lncRNA from 1 species